AAACCAGUAUGGCAAUGGGAACUAAAGAAAAGUAUGCAUCUCGUAUAGUAAAAUUUUUUCCCUUUUUUCUUACGGUUAGUGCAUGGUUGGUGUUCAUUCGUUGGCAAAAACUGUUGCUCAAAGGAUUAAUAGGCCUCGAGAUUGUGCAGCUGCUUGCAUCUGGAGGUGGAAGGCUUGGCAUCUCGACUAAUUAUUUGCAUUUUCGAUCCCAAUUUAAUUGCUCCACGGAAACAUUUAAGUAUUUGUGAUCUUUAUUCAUGCUUCGAGCAGGUUGGUAAUGCUGGAGCUUCUUCAGUUACAGUUGAUGAGGAUAAUUUGAAGGCCUUAAAUGUGGAUCCGAGUGCUUGGGUAAGUUAAAAAGUUUUUAUACGGGUUUACCCAAUAAGGGAUAUGCACUUAUGUGAAAGUAGAGGGGUGCUUGAAUAUAAUAAGAGUUGGAUUAUUAGCCCCCUCUCAUCUCCUCAUAAAAUUCCAUUUUUAGUUAUAUUCAUUUUAUUUCCGAAAAAUACCUCUUUUUUUAGAUACACUUUUCUAAAUUCUUAAUUUUCAUUUGAUUUGUUUUAUUGUUAAAACUUAAAGUAUUAUUGUGCUAUUUUUUAAUUAUUUUUAAUUUUAUUAUUAAUAUACACACAAAUUAAAAAAUUAUAUGGGUGAUAAUUUUUUUAGUGUUAAUCAUUGGCUGAAAUAAUACAUAUUUUAAAUUAUAAUUUCAAAGCAAUUUUAAGUAUAAAAAUAUUUAAUUAAUAAGAAAUCAAAAGAGAACAAUAGAUUAUUCUAAAUUUGUAUAAUUUAUUUUAGUUAAAUGUGAAGUAACAUAUAGAAUUUUUUUUUUUUUUGAAAAUGAUUGAUUAAGAAUUAAGUAAUUUACUGAAAAAAAAUCUAUAUGUGUUUAAUUUUCAAUUGUUUUUAAUUGUAAUUUUAUUUAAAGUGGGGUUUUGUAAGAAAAAUGUAGGGGUGCCAAUAGCUCCACUCAUAUAAUAAUGGGAGUCAAGUUUAAAUUGGGCUUUCCGAAGGCCCUAAAUUUUAAUUUGAGUAGGGUUUUUGACACCCUUCAAAACUUCUUAUAAAACCUCUUUUAAACUGAAAUUACUAAAAUAAUUAAUUACAAUUUAACUCAUUUAUUAUUUUUUAAAUAAAAAUUUAAAUAAACACUUAAAUAUAAUAUUAUUAUAAAAAUAUUUUACACUCACUCCAAUCGAUGAUUUAUGUUUAUAUUUUAAUUUUAAUAAAAAAAUAUUUUUGAGAAAAUUAUAGUAGUUUAAAGUUAUAAAAAUAGAAACUUUAUAACAAGAAAAAAAUAUUAAUUUAAUAUUUUAGGAUUUGUAUGUAAAUCUUUCAACCUUAAGAAUGAAGUGAGGAGAUUUUAGUGAGAAGUAUAAAAGCCUAUGGGCCUAACUCAACUCAAAAGUUAGUUCAAGAGUUGAGAGUUGUCCAAAUAUUGAACCCAAGUUCAAUACUAAGUAAAUAUGAGAUAUUUUUCUUAACACUCCUUAUUAGGUGCAAGCUGAGCCAUGCGAUGUGGGAUAUUUUCCCUCACACCCUUCAUCACGUGUAGGUCUAUCUUUUUGUCAUGUGAUUAGGUAGUGUGAGCCUACUAACGCAUGAGCUAAAUUUGAUUAGUUCUUGUCACAUGAAAAUGUAGUGUGGGCCCAUUAAUACAUGAGUUUUUAACUCUGAUACUAUAUAAAAGUGUAUGGGUCUAACUCAACUCAAAAGUUAACUUAAGAGUUGAGGGUUGUCCGACUCUUAUAUAUUUAAUCCAAGUUCAAUACUUACUCGAUAUAAAAUGUUUUUCCUAAAAAUUAGGUGCUUGAACAACUCGACUUCAAGGAUAUAUAUCUAUAUGCUUAAUAAUUAUCAAAUUAUUUUUUACGUAACCAUUUGUUUUUUCGCAUAAUCAUUUUGUUGAACUCACACAUACGCACGCGCUCACGCGCACACAAACACACACACAUGCACACACGCACAUGCACACAUGCAUAUGCACACGUACACACACGCACGCGCGCACACGUAUACGUACAAAUACACACUUGCACACAUGCACACGUGUGCACACACAGAGAGAAACAAAGAGUUCCUAUGUUUUGAGUGGCUGGUAGUUGCGUUAUUGCUAUAUAUUUUUAGAAUUAUUUUCAUUAUUAAUUUUCUUGUGAAGAUGUCGGAUCUCAAUAAAAGACACGUACUACAAGGAAAAGAGAAUAUUUGACUUUUUAAAAAAAAUUUUGUGAGUUAAUAAAAAGUGUCAAAUAGACUUGAUACCUCAUUGAAAACUACGUAUGUGUAAAAUAUAAAUGACAUUUUUUUACAAUGAGUCAAAAAAAUGUAUCUUGUAAAUAAGCUUAUAAAAAACAAAGAAAAUAAUGGCAACUUUCCGAUCUCCGAUAAUGAUGCCCCCAACUACAACAACGAUGUUGAAGAGGUGAUCUUUUAAUUUGUUGCUUGCUUUAUGUAAGAAUUCAUUUUUUUUUUUUGUUAUUGUUAACUUCAUAAUUGAUUUUAUCCAAUUACAGAUUAAAAAACCAAUAAUGUCAAAUUAAGAAUUCCUUAUACGUAGUUGAAUUGAAUUGAAGAAAUUCAAGUGGAAUCAGUUGAAUCACUUCGAAUUUCAAAAUUUUCAACUGUUUGUUGACGUAUUCAAAAUCUCUAUUAUGUGAAUCUUCAAUUAAUCAUUUUAUGUUCAACUCUAGCAACUGAAGUUGCAAGUUGAAAUUCAGCUGAUGGUCGUGAGAUUAAUUGAACUUCGUAUCUCAUCUUCUUUCUUUUUAAUUUUUAUAACUUAGUUUGAUAUAAUUGUAGAUAUGCAAAGCCUUCAGAGAGCUUUGUGAGGGAUUUAGUUGCAGUUGAAUUUUUUAUCGUUGAUUCCACUCAACGAUAAAAAAUUCUGGACUUAGUUGAACGAAUUGCUGUAAUUCCUUUGCUUUAUAUUAGGACUAAAUUUCAUUUUGUAUUUAUAAGACUUUCAUAGAAUUUUAUUUCAGUGACUAUAGCGAUCAUAUUAAGUUUCCUCGAUGAGCAAUAAAUGAAAAAUUCAUAGAAAGUUACAAUCCUCACCGCGUAAUAGUGCACCUACCCGUCUUCAUCGACGUUGUUUUUUGACCGGAAGGUCGAGAGCUAACUAUCGAGACUUUGGACUAUCCGGACAAAUAUCAACAAAACCACCAUCCUGAGGGCUAAUUAGGGUCUAGUUGCCUGUAAAUGUUAUUUUCAUUUUCUAGAUCAUUUCCUUCAAUUAGAAUCGCAUAUUAAUUUGCAGAUUAUGAAAGAUAGUCCUCGAGGUUAGUUUCAUUUGAUACUGAAUAUUGACUGAUGCUUACGUGUAGAGAUGUUACAGUGAUUUAAAGAUUUUACGGGCAAUGCAGGGGGGAAAAUGAUGUUUACCGCAUGAAACAGAGCAGAGCAGGAAGGUUAUGGAAGAAAUAUUAUGGAGAAUCUGCAAACUAAACCUUGUUGCACUCUGAGGCUUGGGAUUUUGCUCCUAUAUGAAUGGAAUGGUUAGAUAGAUUUAAAAAUGUUGAAAAAGAAAUUAUGGAGCUAUAAAAGCUGAAGCAUGUUUUGCUUGUUCCUUGUGGUUUGAACUCUUUCAAAAUAUUGUCAAUGAAGCCAGAAUUAGUAAAGAUCUUUUACCCAAUAAUUUAGUUAAUAUAUAGUUUCAAAAAUAAUAUCAUGAUUAUUUAUAUAUUUAUGUGUACUUUCAUGUUAAUAA
rnacentral:lncRNA from 1 species